GACUUAGCAAAAAGGCUACAUUUGAGCUAUUGGGUACGACUACAAGACAACAUGCAGCAAGUCCUCUUUUACGUUGUUGAAAAGUGUCUCUUGACACCCAUUCAUGUUGUACUCGAGGAUGGGGGAGGUUGGAGAGGGACAUACAGACGCCUCGGUGACAAAACCUGGCUCUUGGACAAACGUAAUUGGAGGACGCCUGCCAUAUUAUAAAGGGCGCGUGGACAGAACAUUCCUGAGCAAACCCAGCGUCUUCAUCAGCACGUUGGCGUCGGGGUCAGACAGUAAACGAAAAAGCUGCUCCGUGCCCAAACAUUGAACGAUCUCCACCUUUACCUUCUGGUCAGCCUGGAACGCCAUAUUCUAUGUGUACAUGCACACUUUAGAUUCUUUCGUGGUUUGAAAGCUUGUCGAGGAGAGACACUGCUCACCAUGAGGGCCCAGAUCCCGUUGACCCGUAGUGCAGGACUCUCGCUUUGAGUCAGACUGCAUAGUAGUUCUAUCACUCCUGAUUCUAGGAUGGGCUGCACGCACACACAAACACACACAGUGAAUACAUAUUACUACUUCCAUACUGGUUGCACUCCAGAAUGUGUGCAUUAUAAAUUGAGGGCCAACAGUAAGAUUUUCGCAGCACAGUUCCAGCUGCUGGAUCUGGUGGGCCACCAACCCUCAUAUUUGCAAACUAGCAAUGUAGGUUUUUGUGUAAUCCUGCUAACUUCACAAGCUUGUACACUUGAGGCCGAGGCAGAGGUCUGCACUCUUCUUACUGCCAUUAUUGUACGUCAUGGAAGAGGUAUCUGUGUAUUUGAUGACAUCUACCUCUUUGCUCGGUGAGAACUCCAGCAGCAGAUUGCAUAGUGUGGAUGAUGCCAUGACCAGAACUUCAUCAGGGGCGUUCUGCAAGAGCUGCAUCCAAACCAAUAAGUUACCAUGGAGGAGCAUCCUUUAACAAUAGAGCACAAACGUUUCCUUCCUCUUACCUUCAUGAGAGGCUUCCAUACGGCAUGGUCGUGGAAGCUGGUCCUCAGCUGCUGCACAGACCGUGAGAGACUAUGUAGACAUCUAGAACAGGACACAUUUAAAGGUUAAAUACUACCAGCGUCACCUUCGGACAAGGGCGUGGUGUUACCUGACAGCGGCCAAGCGAACUUUAAUGCUGGACUCUGACAGGCCACUGACUAUCCUGUCCAUCAUGUUCUCAGUCUCUGUGAUCUUGAUAAAAGUAAGAGUCAAUGGCACCAUGGAUGUAUUAUUAUUAUGGAACCAAGCAGGACAAUGUACCUUCUUCCGGAUGUCCUCGUCGUUGGAACCCAGUGAGGCAUAAAGUUUGAAAGCGGCUUGUCUCAGCUCGUGAGCGUGCUUCAGGUCAUGGUCCAACUUGAUCGGUCGGACGAGAAAAACAUGUCGCUAAUAAUAAAUGUGGACUCAACCUGAAUGACAAAAGAACUCCUAUUGCAUCAACUCACCCUUUUGAUAUCAGCAAUGGCCGACACUGAACUGGGGUAUUUGAAGUAGUCAGCCAACAUGGCCACCAGGUGGUCGGUGGUGCUGGCGAUCCUCUGCAGCUCCACGUCAGGCUCCAUGAGGAAGGCCAGCGUCUCUGCUCCCUCAACACGUUCCUCUAGCAGGUGCUCCUUGCUGCACAUGCGCACCAGGCAUGGCAAGGUCUGUGUCGAGGACAAUAUGAGGAGGUCACACAAACAUCUAAACGUCAUGGCGAGUGGUAAACGUGGUAUAAAAGCAUCACCUUUAGCACAAUGCAGCUGUCGUCCGUCCUGAUGGCACCAGCUCGACACAUGUACGUGAGACUGGUGCAGAAGGAGGGCACGUCAAAGAGAUGUACCUCCAGAAUUCAACUAAACAUGAUGGCCUCCACACCACUUUACUCACCACUUGGCUGCUGUUAACUGCAUUUCAAUGGGCUGAUCCCUUUGCAUCAUUCGAACAAAUACCUGAGAGAGUAGCUCGCCUUCCACCAGCACUGCAAACACACAAAACCGUCUCAGCUUCAACACUGCAAUUAAAUGAGGAUAGCUCUUAAACGAAAGACCAAGCGCUCACCAUUCACAAGCGUCAUGGAGACCUGAGUGUUCUCAUACGCCAACACUGAGAAACAUUUUAAUGCUUGCAUCCGCACCUUAAAGGUAAAAAAGGUCAAUGCUUUACAGUGGCCAGCACACUGAAAAUGGUAAGGGGUAGGUUUUCAUUUUUUGCAUUAUAUAUUAAUGUGCAUAUGUUCUAAUUUUCUGUAAUACAAUCUAACAUGUGGUCUAGGGGUUGGCGCGCAGACCUCACAGGUAGGAGACCAGGGUUCAAUUCCACCCUCGGCCAUCUCUGUGUGGAGUUUGCAUGUUCUCCCCGUGCAUGCGUGGGUUUUCUCCGGGUACUCCGGUUUCCUCCCACAUUCCAAAAACAUGCUAGGUUAAUUGGCGACUCCAAAUUGUCCAUAGGUAUGAAUGUGAGUGUGAAUGGUUGUUUGUCUAUAUGGGCCCUGUGAUUGGCUGGCGACCAGUCCAGGGUGUACCCCGCCUCUCGCCCGAAGACAGCUGGGAUAGGCUCCAGCACCCCCCGCGACCCUCGUAAGGUAAAAGCGGUAGAAAAUGAAUGAAUGAAUGAAUCUAACAUGUAAGUUAGGCAUGCUUUAAUUCCUAGGUUUCCAAAGUGGGGUACACAUACCAAUCAAUCAGCACCAAACACCACACUUACGGGUGGGCCUAAACGCCCCAUGGUGCAAGAACUGAGCAGAAAUGAAAAAAAGAGCAUAAGUUGCUGGUUUCUCUGUCCAUUAUAUGAACAAGUUUGAUUAUUUUGUGCAUUAAGACAAAAUGCAAAACGAAAACAAUGUCAGUACUUUUUCAUAUUGUAUAAUUUGUAGAUUAUAGUAACUGUAAACAAAAGUACUUUAUUCUGUUGCAUUAUGUAUUAGCUUACCUUAUAAGAGGGUGAUAUUAGCAAUGGGGCAAUGUUCUGAAUGGCGCCAUGGUUGAACAGAACCGUCUGGUGCUCCGGUGUCUGGAGGCAAAACAUUUCAAUCAGCAAUUGCAUGGAGUCUGAUUCCUACCAAGACUGUACACUGCGUGUGAGCCAAUGCCAACCAAAUACCUUACAACAGUGGGAGAAGAUCUGUGUGGUGUACUCUUGCG